GGUCAAGUUAUUAAGGGUGCAGGGCGGAUGCCUUGGCACCGGGAGCCGAUGAAGGACGUGAUAAGCUGCGAUAAGCUAUGGGGAGUUGCACGUAAACUUUGAUCCAUAGAUUUCCGAAUGAGGAAACUCACCAUGAGUAAUGUCAUGGUAUCUUCGAGUGAAUACAUAGCUCGUUGAGGGGAACUCGGGGAACUGAAACAUCUAAGUACCCGAAGGAAGAGAAAGAAAUUCGAUUCCGCUAGUAGCGGCGAGCGAACGCGGAACAGCCCAAACCUAAGAAGUUCGCUUCUUAGGGGUUGCGGACAUAUCAUCAGGAAGAGGUUAUUACAGACGAAGAGUUUUGGAAAGCUCCGCCACAGAAGGUAACAGCCCUGUAGUCGAAGUGAGAAGACUUCCGAUAUGAUCCAGAGUACCACGGGACACGUGAAACCCCGUGGGAAGCAGGAGGGACCACCCUCCAAGGCUAAAUACUACCCGGUGACCGAUAGCGCAUAGUACCGUGAGGGAAAGGUGAAAAGAACCCCGGGAGGGGAGUGAAAUAGAACCUGAAACCCUGUACUUACAAACUGUGGAAGCACAUUUCUUGUGUGACCGCGUACUUUUUGUAGAACGGGCCAACGAGUUACGUUAUGCAGCAAGGUUAAGUACUUCAAGUAUGCAGCCGCAGCGAAAGCGAGUUUUAACUGAGCGUUUAGUUGCAUGACGUAGACCCGAAACCGGGUGACCUAUCCAUGAGCAGGUUGAAGCGAAAGUAAAAUUUCGUGGAGGACCGAACCCACGAGCGUUGAAAAGCUCGGGGAUGACUUGUGGAUAGCGGUGAAAUUCCAAUCGAACCCGGAGAUAGCUGGUUCUCCCCGAAAUAGCUUUAGGGCUAGCCUCAGAUUCAGAGAUACGGAGGUAGAGCACUGAAUGUCCUAGGGGGUAUUGCACCUACCGAAGACUAUCAAACUCCGAAUGCCGUCAUCUUUUAUCUGGGAGUCAGACCGUGGGUGAUAAGAUUCACGGUCGAGAGGGCAACAGCCCAGACCGUCGGCUAAGGUCCCCAAAUGUAGGUUAAGUGGUAAAGGAUGUGGGAUUGCACAGACAACCAGGAUGUUGGCUUAGAAGCAGCCACUCAUUCAAAGAGUGCGUAAUAGCUCACUGGUCGAGUGAUCCUGCGCCGAAGAUUUCCGGGGCUAAAACCUACUACCGAAGCCACGGCAUCAUUUAUGAUGGGUAGGGGAGCUUUCUUUACUGGGCAGAAGCAUGACCGUAAGGACAUGUGGACUGUAAAGAAGUGAGAAUGUUGGCAUGAGUAGCGAGAUGUGGGUGAGAAUCCCACAGGCCGUAAACCCAAGGUUUCCAGGGGAAGGUUCGUCCUCCCUGGGUUAGUCGGGACCUAAGCCGAGGCCGAAAGGCGUAGGUGAUGGACAACAGGUUGAAAUUCCUGUACCGCCAAUAAGCGUUUGAGAAAUGGGAUGACACAGUAGGACAGGAUGAGCGUGCUGUUGGUUAUGCACGUCCAAGCACUGAGGCAGUAUCCGGAGGCAAAUCCACGGAUAUAAUGCUGGGGUGUGACGGGGAGCGAAAUUUAGUAGCGAAGCAUCUGCAUUCACACUGUCGAGAAAAGUCUCUAUCGAGUUUAAAGGCGCCCGUACCGCAAACCGACACAGGUGGGUGAGGAGAGUAUCCUAAGGCCAGCGAGAGAACUGUUGUUAAGGAACUCGGCAAAAUGACCCCGUAACUUAGGGAUAAGGGGUGCCAUCGAAAGAUGGCCGCAGAGAAUAGGCCCAAGCGACUGUUUACCAAAAACAUAGGUUUCUGCUAAGUCGCAAGACGAUGUAUAGGAGCUGACGCCUGCCCGGUGCUGGAAGGUUAAGGGGAUCUGUUAGAGCAAUCGAAGCAGUGAACUUAAGCCCCAGUAAACGGCGGCCGUAACUAUAACGGUCCUAAGGUAGCGAAAUUCCUUGUCGGGUAAGUUCCGACCCGCACGAAAGGCGUAACGAUUUGGGCACUGUCUCAACAACAGACUCGGUGAAAUUGUAAUUCCGGUGAAGAUGCCGGAUACCUGCGACAGGACGGAAAGACCCCAUGGAGCUUUACUGUAGCUUGGCAUUGGGUCUUGGUACUACAUGUACAGCAUAGGUGGGAGGCUUUGAUUCCAGGACGCCAGUUUUGGAUGAGCCACCGUUGGGAUACCACCCCUGUAGUACUGGGACUCUAACCAGAGGCCUUGAAUCAGGUCUUGGGACACUGUCAGGCGGGCAGUUUGACUGGGGCGGUCGCCUCCCAAAAGGUAACGGAGGCGCUCAAAGGUUCUCUCAGCACGGUCGGAAAUCGUGCAUAGAGUGUAAAGGCAUAAGAGAGCUUGAUUGCAAGACAUACAGGUCGAGCAAGGACGAAAGUCGGACUUAGUGAUCCGGUGGUUCUGAGUGGAAGGGCCAUCGCUCAACGGAUAAAAGCUACCCUGGGGAUAACAGGCUUAUCUCCCCCAAGAGUCCACAUCGACGGGGAGGUUUGGCACCUCGAUGUCGGCUCAUCACAUCCUGGGGCUGUAGUAGGUCCCAAGGGUUGGGCUGUUCGCCCAUUAAAGUGGUACGCGAGCUGGGUUCAGAACGUCGUGAGACAGUUCGGUCCCUAUCCGUCGCAGGCGUAGGAAAUUUGAGAGGAUCUGCCCUUAGUACGAGAGGACCGGGGUGGACGUACCGCUGGUGUACCAGUUGUCUCGCCAGAGGCAUGGCUGGGUAGCUAUGUACGGAACGGAUAAGCGCUGAAAGCAUCUAAGCGCGAAGCCAGCCUUAAGAUAAGAUUUCCCAUUCUUCGGAAGUAAGACCCCAUGAAGACUACGUGGUUGAUAGGUCGGAGGUGGAAGUGCAGUAAUGUAUGCAGCUUACCGAUACUAAUAGGUCGAGGACUUGACCAA
rnacentral:rRNA from 1 species